rnacentral:rRNA from 1 species
GGUUAAGCGACUAAGCGUACACGGUGGAUGCCCUGGCAGUCAGAGGCGAUGAAGGACGUGCUAAUCUGCGAUAAGCGUCGGUAAGGUGAUAUGAACCGUUAUAACCGGCGAUUUCCGAAUGGGGAAACCCAGUGUGUUUCGACACACUAUCAUUAACUGAAUCCAUAGGUUAAUGAGGCGAACCGGGGGAACUGAAACAUCUAAGUACCCCGAGGAAAAGAAAUCAACCGAGAUUCCCCCAGUAGCGGCGAGCGAACGGGGAGCAGCCCAGAGCCUGAAUCAGUGUGUGUGUUAGUGGAAGCGUCUGGAAAGGCGCGCGAUACAGGGUGACAGCCCCGUACACAAAAAUGCACAUGCUGUGAGCUCGAUGAGUAGGGCGGGACACGUGGUAUCCUGUCUGAAUAUGGGGGGACCAUCCUCCAAGGCUAAAUACUCCUGACUGACCGAUAGUGAACCAGUACCGUGAGGGAAAGGCGAAAAGAACCCCGGCGAGGGGAGUGAAAAAGAACCUGAAACCGUGUACGUACAAGCAGUGGGAGCACAGAGCAAUCUGUGUGACUGCGUACCUUUUGUAUAAUGGGUCAGCGACUUAUAUUCUGUAGCAAGGUUAACCGAAUAGGGGAGCCGAAGGGAAACCGAGUCUUAACUGGGCGUUAAGUUGCAGGGUAUAGACCCGAAACCCGGUGAUCUAGCCAUGGGCAGGUUGAAGGUUGGGUAACACUAACUGGAGGACCGAACCGACUAAUGUUGAAAAAUUAGCGGAUGACUUGUGGCUGGGGGUGAAAGGCCAAUCAAACCGGGAGAUAGCUGGUUCUCCCCGAAAGCUAUUUAGGUAGCGCCUCGUGAAUUCAUCUCCGGGGGUAGAGCACUGUUUCGGCAAGGGGGUCAUCCCGACUUACCAACCCGAUGCAAACUGCGAAUACCGGAGAAUGUUAUCACGGGAGACACACGGCGGGUGCUAACGUCCGUCGUGAAGAGGGAAACAACCCAGACCGCCAGCUAAGGUCCCAAAGUCAUGGUUAAGUGGGAAACGAUGUGGGAAGGCCCAGACAGCCAGGAUGUUGGCUUAGAAGCAGCCAUCAUUUAAAGAAAGCGUAAUAGCUCACUGGUCGAGUCGGCCUGCGCGGAAGAUGUAACGGGGCUAAACCAUGCACCGAAGCUGCGGCAGCGACGCUUAUGCGUUGUUGGGUAGGGGAGCGUUCUGUAAGCCUGCGAAGGUGUGCUGUGAGGCAUGCUGGAGGUAUCAGAAGUGCGAAUGCUGACAUAAGUAACGAUAAAGCGGGUGAAAAGCCCGCUCGCCGGAAGACCAAGGGUUCCUGUCCAACGUUAAUCGGGGCAGGGUGAGUCGACCCCUAAGGCGAGGCCGAAAGGCGUAGUCGAUGGGAAACAGGUUAAUAUUCCUGUACUUGGUGUUACUGCGAAGGGGGGACGGAGAAGGCUAUGUUGGCCGGGCGACGGUUGUCCCGGUUUAAGCGUGUAGGCUGGUUUUCCAGGCAAAUCCGGAAAACUAAGGCUGAGGCGUGAUGACGAGGCACUACGGUGCUGAAGCAACAAAUGCCCUGCUUCCAGGAAAAGCCUCUAAGCAUCAGGUAACAUCAAAUCGUACCCCAAACCGACACAGGUGGUCAGGUAGAGAAUACCAAGGCGCUUGAGAGAACUCGGGUGAAGGAACUAGGCAAAAUGGUGCCGUAACUUCGGGAGAAGGCACGCUGAUAUGUAGGUGAAGUCCCUCGCGGAUGGAGCUGAAAUCAGUCGAAGAUACCAGCUGGCUGCAACUGUUUAUUAAAAACACAGCACUGUGCAAACACGAAAGUGGACGUAUACGGUGUGACGCCUGCCCGGUGCCGGAAGGUUAAUUGAUGGGGUUAGCGGUAACGCGAAGCUCUUGAUCGAAGCCCCGGUAAACGGCGGCCGUAACUAUAACGGUCCUAAGGUAGCGAAAUUCCUUGUCGGGUAAGUUCCGACCUGCACGAAUGGCGUAAUGAUGGCCAGGCUGUCUCCACCCGAGACUCAGUGAAAUUGAACUCGCUGUGAAGAUGCAGUGUACCCGCGGCAAGACGGAAAGACCCCGUGAACCUUUACUAUAGCUUGACACUGAACAUUGAGCCUUGAUGUGUAGGAUAGGUGGGAGGCUUUGAAGUGUGGACGCCAGUCUGCAUGGAGCCGGCCUUGAAAUACCACCCUUUAAUGUUUGAUGUUCUAACGUUGGCCCCUGAUCGGGGUUGCGGACAGUGUCUGGUGGGUAGUUUGACUGGGGCGGUCUCCUCCUAAAGAGUAACGGAGGAGCACGAAGGUUGGCUAAUCCUGGUCGGACAUCAGGAGGUUAGUGCAAUGGCAUAAGCCAGCUUGACUGCGAGCGUGACGGCGCGAGCAGGUGCGAAAGCAGGUCAUAGUGAUCCGGUGGUUCUGAAUGGAAGGGCCAUCGCUCAACGGAUAAAAGGUACUCCGGGGAUAACAGGCUGAUACCGCCCAAGAGUUCAUAUCGACGGCGGUGUUUGGCACCUCGAUGUCGGCUCAUCACAUCCUGGGGCUGAAGUAGGUCCCAAGGGUAUGGCUGUUCGCCAUUUAAAGUGGUACGCGAGCUGGGUUUAGAACGUCGUGAGACAGUUCGGUCCCUAUCUGCCGUGGGCGCUGGAGAACUGAGGGGGGCUGCUCCUAGUACGAGAGGACCGGAGUGGACGCAUCACUGGUGUUCGGGUUGUCAUGCCAAUGGCACUGCCCGGUAGCUAAAUGCGGAAGAGAUAAGUGCUGAAAGCAUCUAAGCACGAAACUUGCCCCGAGAUGAGUUCUCCCUGACUCCUUGAGAGUCCUGAAGGAACGUUGAAGACGACGACGUUGAUAGGCCGGGUGUGUAAGCGCAGCGAUGCGUUGAGCUAACCGGUACUAAUGAACCGUGAGGCUUAACCUU